UACGUAGGGUGCAAGCGUUGUCCGGAAUUAUUGGGCGUAAAGAGCUCGUAGGCGGUUUGUUGCGUCGGCUGUGAAAUCCCGAGGCUCAACCUCGGGUCUGCAGUCGAUACGAGCAAACUAGAGUGUUGCAGGGGAGACUGGAAUUCCUGGUGUAGCGGUGAAAUGCGCAGAUAUCAGGAGGACCACCGGUGGCGAAGGCGGGUCUCUGGGCAACAACUGACGCUGAGGAGCGAAAGCGUGGGGAGCGAACAGG
rnacentral:rRNA from 1 species